GCCAGCAGCCGCGGGAACACCGGCGGCCCGAGUGGUGAUCGUGAUUAUUGGGUCUAAAGGGUCCGUAGCCGGUUUGGUCAGUCCUCCGGGAAAUCUGAUAGCUCAACUAUUAGGCUUUCGGGGGAUACUGCCAGACUUGGAACCGGGAGAGGUAAGAGGUACUACAGGGGUAGGAGUGAAAUCUUGUAAUCCCUGUGGGACCACCUGUGGCGAAGGCGUCUUACCAGAACGGGUUCGACGGUGAGGGACGAAAGCUGGGGGCACGAACCGGAUUAGAUACCCGGGUAGUCCCAGCCGUAAACGAUGCUCGCUAGGUGUCAGGCAUGGCGCGACCGUGUCUGGUGCCGCAGGGAAGCCGUGAAGCGAGCCACCUGGGAAGUACGGCCGCAAGGCUGAAACUUAAAGGAAUUGGCGGGGGAGCACAACAACGGGUGGAGCCUGCGGUUUAAUUGGACUCAACGCCGGACAACUCACCGGGGGCGACAGCAAUAUGUAGGCCAAGCUGAAGACUUUGCCUGAAUCGCUGAGGAGUGGUGCAUGG
rnacentral:rRNA from 1 species